rnacentral:rRNA from 1 species
AUUGAACGCUGGCGGAAUGCUUUACACAUGCGAGUCGAACGGCAGCACGGACUUCGGUCUAGUGGCGAGUGGCGAACGGGUGAGUAAUGUAUCGGAACGUGCCCAGUCGUGGGGGAUAACGCAGCGAAAAUUACGCUAAUACCGCAUACGAUCUAUGGAUGAAAGCGGGGGAUCGCAAGACCUCGCGCGAUUGGAGCGGCCGAUAUCAGAUUAGGUAGUUGGUGGGGUAAAGGCCCACCAAGCCAACGAUCUGUAGCUGGCCUGAGAGGACGACCAGCCACACUGGAACUGAGACACGGUCCAGACUCCUACGGGAGGCAGCAGUGGGGAAUUUUGGACAAUGGGCGAAAGCCUGAUCCAGCCAUUCCGCGUGCAGGAUGAAGGCCCUCGGGUUGUAAACUGCUUUUGUACAGAACGAAAAGGUUUCUACUAAUACUAGGAGCUCAUGACGGUACUGUAAGAAUAAGCACCGGCUAACUACGUGCCAGCAGCCGCCGUAA